UUCCCACAGCCACGCAGUGGCUACAUCGUAAAUAUUCAUGAGUUGUUUUGUUUUGUUUUCUGGUAUUAAUUUAAAGUUAGGUUUAAGGUUAGCAGUGUGGAAAAUGUAAGGAGCAAGGUUAGGGCUGGGUUUAAACUCACAGUUGAAGAAGAUAAAUUGUUGAAGUUGAAGGUGUACAAUGGGAUUUUUCUGUGGAAUUAUCAAACAUAACCUCUGUCAAAUCUCUCUUUGUUAAAAUAGAAAACGGCAACAAAACAGGAGUUUGUCUUUGAAGCAGUGGUCAAUGAUCAUGCACAAUGGCCGUGUCCGUUAUCUCAUCUUCUUCCAAUACCUCGGGACAAAGUACAGUGGCGUUAUGAAGGCGCCUCCACACCAAGCAGUCAAGGGUGUCCAGAACUACUUGGAGGUCCUGGAUGGCAGGAAGCUUGGCCCCAGUGAUGUACUGGGCCGUACCCACCUCCCAGUGAUGUACUGGGCCGUACCCACUACCCAGUGAUGUACUGGGCCGUACCCACUACCCUCUGCCUUACGUUCAGAUUAUUUUC
ensembl:lncRNA